rnacentral:rRNA from 1 species
UACAGAGGUCUCAAGCGUUGUUCGGAUUCAUUGGGCGUAAAGGGUGCGUAGGCGGCGCGGUAAGUCGGGUGUGAAAUCCCGGGGCUCAACCCCGGAACUGCAUUCGAUACUGCCUUGCUUGAGCACUGGAGAGGAGACUGGAAUUUACGGUGUAGCAGUGAAAUGCGUAGAUAUCGUAAGGAAGACCAGUGGCGAAGGCGAGUCUCUGGACAGUUGCUGACGCUGAGGCACGAAGGCCAGGGGAGCAAACGGG